GAUGAAGAACGCAGCGAAAUGCGAUAAGUAAUGUGAAUUGCAGAAUUCAGUGAAUCAUCGAAUCUUUGAACGCACAUUGCUCCCCUUGGUAUUCCGAGGGGCAUGCCUGUUCGAGCGUCAUUAUCACCCCUCAAGCUUUGCUUGGUGUUGGGGCCUGCUGUAAUAGGCAGCCCUUAAAAUCAGUGGCGGUGCUUCAGGGCUCUAAGCGUAGUAAUUCUCCUCGCUAUAGUGUCUAGUGGUUGCCAGCCAGAACCCCCCAAUUUUCAUGAUUGACCUCGGAUCAGGUAGGGAUACCCGCUGAACUUAAGCAUAUCAAUAAGCGGAGGA
rnacentral:misc_RNA from 1 species